rnacentral:rRNA from 1 species
AAUAAGAGGUCCCGCCUGCCCUGUGACUAUAAGUUUAACGGCCGCGGUAUUUUAACCGUGCAAAGGUAGCGCAAUCACUUGUCCUUUAAAUGAAGACCUGUAUGAAUGGCACGACGAGGGCUUGACUGUCUCCUCUUUCCAGUCAAUGAAAUUGAUCUCCCCGUGCAGAAGCGGGGAUUCUCCCAUAAGACGAGAAGACCCUAUGGAGCUUUAGACACCAAGGCAGACCAUGUUAAACACACCCAAACACGGAACCAAACUAAAUGAUACCUGCCAGAUGUCUUUGGUUGGGGCGACCACGGGGAACACGAAACCCCCGCGCGGAACGGAAGCACCUCCUUCUACAACCAAGAGUUCCCACUCCAAUAAACAGAAUUUCUGACCCAUAUGAUCCGGCAACGCCGAUCAACGGACCGAGUUACCCUAGGGAUAACAGCGCAAUCCCCUUCUAGAGCCCAUAUCGACAAGGGGGUUUACGACCUCGAUGUUGGAUCAGGACAUCCUAAUGGUGCAGCCGCUAUUAAGGGUUCGUUUGUUCAACGAUUAAAGUCCU